UGGGGAAUUUUGGACAAUGGGCGAAAGCCUGAUCCAGCAAUGCCGCGUGUGUGAAGAAGGCCUUCGGGUUGUAAAGCACUUUUGUCCGGAAAGAAAUCCUUGGCUCUAAUACAGUGCGGGGGAUGACGGUACCGGAAGAAUAAGCACCGGCUAACUACGUGCCAGCAGCCGCGGUAAUACGUAGGGUGCAAGCGUUAAUCGGAAUUACUGGGCGUAAAGCGUGCGCAGGCGGUUUGCUAAGACCGAUGUGAAAUCCCCGGGCUCAACCUGGGAACUGCAUUGGUGACUGGGCAGGCUAGAGUAUGGCAGAGGGGGGUAGAAUUCCACGUGUAGCAGUGAAAUGCGUAGAGAUGUGGAGGAAUACCGAUGGCGAAGGCAGCCCCCUGGG
rnacentral:rRNA from 1 species